UACGGAGGAUCCAAGCGUUAUCCGGAUUUAUUGGGUUUAAAGGGUGCGUAGGCGGCUCAUUAAGUCAGGGGUGAAAGACGGCAGCUUAACUGUCGCAGUGCCUUUGAUACUGAUGAGCUUGAAUACACUUGAGGUAGGCGGAAUGUGACAAGUAGCGGUGAAAUGCAUAGAUAUGUCACAGAACACCGAUUGCGAAGGCAGCUUACUAAAGUGAGAUUGACGCUGAGGCACGAAAGCGUGGGGAUCAAACAGG
rnacentral:rRNA from 1 species